GCAGGAUCUCCGCAAACUGACGCGCAAGAGCCUGCUCCUGCUCCAAGUGCUGCGUCGGGCUACAGCAUGCACUCGUUAGGAAUCCCAGCAGGCCGUGCAGGGCACCUUCUGCACGACCGAGACAACAAACAAACAGACCUACCGCAUUUGGUUGCUGGAACCGAACCGGCGGUGCAGACUGCGAAGAGGCUUUUUUUCUUUUUUUUUUGCAGUGGAAAUGCACAGAACAGUUGGAGAUUCGACAGCGGCUACGGAAAACAGCCACGUCCUGAAAGCGCUUUUGCAUGACGCUGUCCUUUACGCCCUACCGCUAUAUAUCAAAUACGCUCACCUGUCUAAUGGCUUCUCCAGCUCCACUGUAGGACUGCAGAUCCAUUAAAACACUCAUGGCCUCAGUCAGAACCUCGUUCAUCUGUUCCCAUAACUCUCUUUCUGCUUCAGUAGGCUUAGCAUCUGUGGAAAAAAAAGCAGCACUUGGUUUUAGACACACACAGGCACUGUGUACACUCAGUUACAACCAAGAAUUCUUCCUUCGUUUCAUCACGUAUAGAAAAUGUUUAACAUUAAACAACAUUAAACAAGAA